AAUUAAACCUGACAGAGCAGCGAGCAUCUCGGAUUUCUCGGGAUAACGCGAAUGGCAGGACUUUCA
rnacentral:sRNA from 1 species